rnacentral:rRNA from 1 species
UCGAGGGGUAUGCUUCUCCGGAAGCAGAGACCGGCGCACGGGUGCGUAACGCGUAUGCAAUCUACCUUUCACAGAGGGAUAGCCCAGAGAAAUUUGGAUUAAUACCUCAUAGUAUAGCAGUUUCGCAUGAAACCACUAUUAAAGUCACAACGGUGAAAGAUGAGCGUGCGUCCCAUUAGCUAGUUGGUAAGGUAACGGCUUACCAAGGCAACGAUGGGUAGGGGUCCUGAGAGGGAGAUCCCCCACACUGGUACUGAGACACGGACCAGACUCCUACGGGAGGCAGCAGUGAGGAAUAUUGGACAAUGGGCGCAAGCCUGAUCCAGCCAUGCCGCGUGCAGGAUGACGGUCCUAUGGAUUGUAAACUGCUUUUGUACAGGGAGAAACACCUCUACGUGUAGAGACUUGACGGUACUGUAAGAAUAAGGAUCGGCUAACUCCGUGCCAGCAGCCGCGGUAAUACGGAGGAUCCAAGCGUUAUCCGGAAUCAUUGGGUUUAAAGGGUCCGUAGGCGGUCAGAUAAGUCAGUGGUGAAAGCCCAUCGCUCAACGGUGGAACGGCCAUUGAUACUGUCUGACUUGAAUUAUUAGGAAGUAACUAGAAUAUGUAGUGUAGCGGUGAAAUGCUUAGAGAUUACAUGGAAUACCAAUUGCGAAGGCAGGUUACUACUAAUGGAUUGACGCUGAUGGACGAAAGCGUGGGUAGCGAACAGGAUUAGAUACCCUGGUAGUCCACGCCGUAAACGAUGGAUACUAGCUGUUGGGAGCAAUCUCAGUGGCUAAGCGAAAGUGAUAAGUAUCCCACCUGG